CUCGUUUACUUCAACAAAGGCUUUGUGAAUCACCUUCGACACCACUAGGUUGUUGUUGGGUGACAUGCCUGAAAGAUUCACCUUCCCCUUAUUAAAAACAUCCUCCAUUCCCAUGCUGAUCAGAAGAUCCUUCAUGUCAUAGGUUUGCUCCAUCUUGAACCUGGGCAGAGACACUUGAACUUCUUGUUGAUGCAUGAUUU